GCAUAUCAAUAAGCGGAGGAAAAGAAACCAACAGGGAUUGCCCUUAGUAACGGCGAAGUGAAGCGGCAACAGCUCAAAUUUGAAAUCUGGCCUAGGCCCGAGUUGUAAUUUGCAGAGGAUGCUUUUGGCGCGGUGCCUUCCGAGUUCCCUGGAACGGGACGCCACAGAGGGUGAGAGCCCCGUAUGGUCGGACACCAAGCCUCUGUAAAGCUCCUUCGACGAGUCGAGUAGUUUGGGAAUGCUGCUCAAAAUGGGAGGUAAAUCUCUUCUAAAGCUAAAUACCGGCCAGAGACCGAUAGCGCACAAGUAGAGUGAUCGAAAGAUGAAAAGCACCUUGAAAAGGGGGUUAAACAGUACGUGAAAUUGUUGAAAGGGAAGCGCUUGUGACCAGACUUGCGCCAGGCGGCUCAUCCGGCGUUCUCGCCGGUGCACUCCGCCUGGCACAGGCCAGCAUCGGUUCUUGCCGGGGGAUAAGAGCUCCGGGAACGUAGCUCCCUACGGGGAGUGUUAUAGCCCGCUGCACGAUACCCUGGCGGGGACCGAGGUUCGCGCUCCGCAAGGAUGCUGGCGUAAUGGUCAUCAGCGACCCGUCUUGAAACACGGACCAAGGAGUCGUCCAUUAGAGCGAGCGUUUGGGUGUAAAACCCGCACGCGUAAUGAAAGUGAACGCAGGUGAGAGCUUCGGCGCAUCAUCGACCGAUCCUGAUGUACUCGGAUGGAUUUGAGUAAGAGUUUUACUGGACGGACCCGAAAGACAGUGAACUAUGCCUGAAUAGGGUGAAGCCAGAGGAAACUCUGGUGGAGGCUCGCAGCGGUUCUGACGUGCAAAUCGAUUCGUCAAAUUUGGGCAUGGGGGGCGAAAGACUAAUCGAACUGUCUAGUAGCUGGUUACCGUGA
rnacentral:rRNA from 1 species